rnacentral:rRNA from 1 species
UACGAAGGUCCCGAGCGUUGUUCGGAAUCACUGGGCGUAAAGGGAGCGUAGGCGGCGCGGUAAGUCAGAUGUGAAAUCCCGGGGCUCAACCCCGGAACUGCAUCCGAUACUGCCGUGCUAGAGGAUUGGAGAGGUAGCUGGAAUUCUUGGUGUAGCAGUGAAAUGCGUGGAGAUCAAGAGGAACACCGGUGGCGAAGGCGGGUCUCUGGGCCGAUACUGACGCUGAGGAGCGAAAGCGUGGGGAGCGAACAGG